UUCUGUUCUCUCCUAGAAACU
ensembl:piRNA 21ur-5657 ncRNA